CAGUAGCCGCGGUAAUACGUAGGGUGCAAGCGUUAAUCGGAAUUACUGGGCGUAAAGCGUGCGCAGGCGGUUAUAUAAGACAGAUGUGAAAUCCCCGGGCUCAACCUGGGAACUGCAUUUGUGACUGUAUAGCUAGAGUACGGCAGAGGGGGAUGGAAUUCCGCGUGUAGCAGUGAAAUGCGUAGAUAUGCGGAGGAACACCGAUGGCGAAGGCAAUCCCCUGGGCCUGUACUGACGCUCAUGCACGAAAGCGUGGGGAGCAAACAGGAUUAGAUACCCCCGUAGUCCCUGUCUCUUAUAC
rnacentral:rRNA from 1 species